UUUGUGAUGAAAUUUAUUUGGUCCGUGUUUAUGAUUUUUUUGAUUAUAACUUCUCACCACUUUCUGAAACAU